UGGUACGCUGAAGGUGGUAACAUGGCCUUCAUGACCUCUUCAGUCAGCUGUGGUUGGUUAGCCGAUCAAUAGAAACUGAGGACUUCUUCCAAUUAGAUCUUCAACAUUUGAAGGUUCAUUGCCCCCAAGAAUGCAGCCAAACAAGUCAAAAUAAGCAACACUGCAACCAUCAGGUGAGUUUCUGCAUACUGCUUGUGAUCUAAACUGGUUGCUCCAGUAGAAUACUUCUCUGUAGUCUUACUUAUCUGUUCUGAUGCAUGCCAAACCUUGUUACUGUAGUAACUACUCACCCUAAGGUCCUAGAUUUUACGAAUACUUCUUAAAAUUAGUCCAACAGAGAAGCCCGGUGGAACAAUAAUUAAGAUAGAAAUGACAGUGAGGUAUCAUAAUUGAUUGUUCCUGUUAAGAGUUGAACCUGGUUGGGACAAAUCACAAAGUCCAUAUUUCUAGGAUACAGCACAUUUCUCAAAGGUCCUAUAUCUCACCUUAUUGACUAAGCAGCACUAGCAAGAUGCCCGUGCGUUGCACGGAACAUCAAGAUGCAUUUGUACGAGUAGUUUACCUUGUGAGAGAAAAGGAUGAACGAGGAAAGUCCUUAUCUGCAAGUGUGGAGAGAGGUGCAGGUAUCUUUUUGCAAAAUUGCCAUAGUUUGCUUUCUAUCCGUCAGAUAUAGAUCGGACGGUCUAUAUUACACGAUGGUAGGCACACCAUCAUCACCAACUCGGUCUUUUAUAAGAGUAGAGAUCCAUAUCCUAACAUUAAGUGGAUAACUUUUUUAUAUUUUAUUGGGCGGGAAAAAUAAACAACCUGAACCGUGGACCAACCAAACCAAACUUGCACGCUAGCCAACUUUCCAACAAAGAAGUUCAGUAGUAGCAUCCACAACGCUUUAUUUAUACCUUCGAAGUGCGACCGACAAAGGCUAUGGCGGUAGCCACUUGUCACAUCAUCUUUUACAGCGAGGAUUGGCCAGAAGUAUACCGUCGUUGACCAUGGCAGUACCCUGUAUAUUUCUACCGCCAACGUGUAUAGGAAAAGUCAGAUCCAGAAAGAUUUACAAACAAUCAUUAAGUCGUGCUAAACUUUUCUCGAAAGGUCAAAACAGUGAAUUUGUACGCAUGUGGGCAUACCCAUGGUAGGAAUCAUGUCAGGUUUGAAUGAUUUCUGACUCCGGAUGCAAGUUGUGACACGUGUUCGACCAUGUAUUGGCCUUUUUUUACCGAGAUAACUCUAAUUUUUUUAUAAAAUUUGUCUAAAAUCAAAACAACUUGGCAUGGUGCAUUGAAUUGGUAAUACAAGGCCAUGGAAAAAAUUGGGCCAUUUUAAGGAUGUCCCAAAACAACAUGCUCUCAGAUAGAGCCUUCUGGCCUACCCGAACACCCUCCGUUGAACAUGAUUUAUUUUUGGACAUGCUUAAAAUGAACCCAACUUUUGCAAGUAGGUGGGGAUGCUCAUGGUAGACACCCAUGCCAUGUUUUAAUAACUUCCUACACCAUUUGCACAUUGCGACAUGUCCAUCCCUUUAUCAACAUUUUUACAACGGGAAAACUCCAGAAAAUGCAAAACUUCUCAAAAACUCAAACAACUUGGCAUGGUACCUUGAAUUGCUCAUACAAGACCAUGGAAAAAAUUGGGGUAAUUUAAAGGAUGUCGAGAAACAACGUGCUUUUAGACGGAGCCUUCUCGCAUACCCGAGCAUCCUUCAUUGAACAUAGUAUAUUUUUUUGACAUCCUUCCUUAAAAUUACAUGCCUCUAGCUCAAUAUAAGAAUGGAUCAAGACCCCCACAUGUUCGUAUUCUCUAGUUCAACAUGACACCAUCUAAUUAGAGCCAAACCUAUAAAAAAAUUAUUGGCACGUGCCCAUAAUUUGUUUCAAUUAUAAUUAACCAGCAUAUUCUCUUUUAUUGGCACAUGGAAGCUACCACUGUCGAUAAUUUAUGGUGUCCCUUAUUCUGAACAAGCCGACUUAGCUCAAUGCGCCGGAUGCGAAGCAGGCCCAGUAUGGGAGUGAUUGAUCUCACGAGCUCAAAGACACGACCACAUGUUGCUAGCCACUCAAACAAACGCGUUCUGCUAAGCAAUGAUCAACAUGAAUAUUAAAGAAUAUAAUGCAACGUCAAAUUAAAAACUUUUUUUUGAACUUUUCAAAAGCUUUUAACUAUGAAAUGCCAAAUAUACUUGGCAACGUGAAUGAUUUUCCAAAUUAUGAUUUGUUUUAAAAUACCACACAUUUUAAAAAAGACGAACAAAAAAUUUGAACGGAACAUUUGUUGAAAUUCACAAAAAUUUCUUAAAAGCAUGAACGUUUUAUAAAAAUAUGUUUUUUUUUCUUAAGUUGUGAACAAUUUUUGGUAACGGUAACAUAUUUUGAACAUAUAGAAGAAAUUUAGAAAAUAUGUCUUUUAAUGCAAAAAUUAUUUCCAAUUUUUUAACAUAUCACUAAAACAAGAAUAUUUUUCAAAUUUGUAACAUUGUUUAAAUCUUGCACAAAUUUGGAAAAAGCCAAACAUCUUUCAAAAAUGGAAUAAUUGUUUUUAAUUCUGAAAAAAAAAUUAAAAUUUCAAACAUAUUUUAAAUAGGAACACAUUUUUGGAAUUCAUAACCUGAACUACCGAAUAUACUUGGCAACGUGAACAAUUUUCCAAAUUAUGAACAAUUCUUUGAAAAUUUCAUACAUUUUUGGACAAAGCAAGAAGAAAAAAUUGAACGGAACAUCUCCUGAAAUGCACAUACAUUUAAAAACAUGAACCUUCUUAUAAAAAAACGAACAUCUAAGUUGUGAACAAUUUUUUAAAAUGGGAACAUGUUUUAAACAUGCAGAAGAAUUUUAGUAAAUGUGUUUCUUUAAUGCAAAUAUUCUUUUCAAUUUUUAAACAUACCGCUAAAACAAGAAUAUUUUUCGAAUUUGGAAUAUUUUUCAAAUGCAUUUGUUUAAACCUUGAACAAUUUCUUAAAAUACAAAUAUUUUUUAAAAAGUGGGAAUAAUUUUGAAAUUUUGAACAAAUGUUGGCAUGACAAAAAAAAUCCAAAUAUUUUUUGAAUAAGAACACAUUUUUUGUAAUUCGUAUCUUUUUACGAAAUUAUGAAUAAAAAUUGAAAUUCCGAACAUUUUUGAAAAUUAUGAAUUUCAGAAAAAAUUGAAAAAUAGACUUGCAAUGAGAAAAUAAUAAAGAAGCAGCAAAUAAAUAGAGAAAGAAACAGAAAAAGAAAAUUUGAUACAGAAGACAAACAAAAAUGGGCCGCCGAGUCUUGGGCGCCCAGUGCGUAGCUGUAACUAUUUGCCGCAUUGAGCGGGAAAUAAGAUUUUUUCUUGCUGCGUGGGCAGGAGAAAUGGGUUGAUUUUACUGGGCCAUAGGGUGCACAGCACACGUACGAAAUUCUGCAGAAAUCGUUUUUCCUUUGCUAACAAGCGGACGUACGAAAGUUUAGUACCACCUCGGAUAGAUUUUUUUUUUUUGAAGGUGAACGGAUGAAAAAAUUAGAGAAAUACACCUUAUUUUAUUAGUAGGUAUAGAUAUAGAUAUAGAUAAAGCACAACAGCAGUUUUAUGGUUAAUAAAGUUUCUUGCUCAGUUUCAAAUAAAAGAAAUUCUUACAUCUGUGUGCCGGUUAAGUGCAACCUCUCAGAGCUAAAGCAAGUGAGGACGCUAAUAGCCAGAUGCCAAUUCAGACGUUUCUUUUUAAUUGAAAUUCUUCUGGAUCCAUUUCUGAACGAAUCUUUACUUUCUUUGCGUGCUUUCCCAAGGUUAUCCUGUGAUGUCCCUUUUGUUUGCUUGUAUUUACCCUCAUGUUGCAGUUCUCCAGCAGGGUGUGGAUUUCUGUUGGUUUAUGAUGGGCUGAUCCCACUGUAGGUAUGGACCUUCCUUCAUGAAGCUUGAGGAAGCACUCACUUUUCCAUCCACGGGAUUCUUGGUUCUGCACUUAGUCUUGAACCUUUGUUGGUUUGGGACGUCAAUCUCAUUCGUCAUAUCCGUCUUGUCCAUUAUGGGCGGAUGCGCGAGCUUGAAAGAGAUACUGCAAUUUGAAUAGUUAAUGCUGCUCACACUACUGUAUAUAGUCGAUAAAUUGCUGAUUUUUUCUUUCUUUCUGUCAUAUGCCUGAGUUAUACAACAACAACAACAACAAACAACAAAGCCUUUAGUCCCAAACAAGUUAAGUUAUACUACCUCCGCUCCAAAAUACUAUUUGAAGUUCUCUGUUUAUCUUAAGUCAACUUCUUGAAGUUUUGAUCAUGUAUAUAAAAAAAUUAUUAAUAUGUCCAUUCAAUUGGAUUACACAACCUGUCUCC
rnacentral:lncRNA from 1 species